AAGUCGUAACAAGGUCUCCGUAGGUGAACCUGCGGAGGGAUCAUUAGAAAUGCUUUGUUCUUUCUUUCCGACUUUUCUCGUUUACCCGAGAAAAUCGCAAAAAAGAAACAUCAUUUCCUGGCAUGUCUCGUUUUGUGCUUUUUCCAUUUCUUCGGAAAAGAAGAAGGAUAAAGCGAGAUAAGCCAGACUCAUUUGUGUGUGUAGAAUCUUGCCAUGGGAGUUCGCUUCCAUGCCAUUUUUUUUGCACACAUAUAUCUACACCUUUAUUUAACUAUAUUGUCUGAAUCUCAACUAUAUUCUUAUGUCGAAAUAUCUAUAUUUUGAUGUAAAAUAUAAAAAAAUUAAAUUUAAAACAACUUUCAACAAUGGAUCCCUCGAUUCUCC
rnacentral:misc_RNA from 1 species